rnacentral:rRNA from 1 species
AUGGUGGUUGACCAGGUGGUUCUAUCUCCGAUGCCAUGGUUGAUUGUGGUCAUCAAGUCUACUCCGUGGCCACCCCCUGCAGCUUUGGGAAAGGCUCAUCCGCAUGCAUGCAGCACGCACAAGCCCAUCUUUGCAUUCAUCACACACGCACACAUUUCAGGUUCGGCUACUUGCCCUCUAUUUCCCAGCCAUGCUCGCGCACGUCUACUCGCCUCUGUCCACGAACCAGGCAGUCAGCUCCAAACACUUGAGGACCCAUCGAUCUACGCCAAUAAUCUUGGACGAUGUGGCCCUCCAUUGAGCAUUCCAUGCACAAACAAUUCGAGUAGUCCAACACCAGUUGAUGGCAACCAAGAACACGAAACGGUGUGGCUGUACUACUCGGUGAUUGCUGGAACCGUCUUCGGUUUCUGGGUUUGGUUUGGAGCAUUGUUCUUCUACAAGUUCUGGCGGUUUGCAUUCUUCAAUCGCAUCGAUGCCAUGCAGCGGAUUGUUGUGCACAAGAUGAAGCAUACCUGA